rnacentral:tRNA from 1 species
UAGAAGGUAGUAUAUUGGUAGUAUAGAAAGUUUUGGGCUUUCUGGUUCAAGUUCAAGUCUUGACUUUCUAG